rnacentral:rRNA from 1 species
CCUACGGGAGGCAGCAGUGAGGAAUAUUGGUCAAUGGGCUUACGCCUGAACCAGCCAAGUCGCGUGAGGGAAGACUGCCCUAUGGGUUGUAAACUUCUUUUAUAAAGGAAUAAAACGAGGCACGUGUGCCUUUUUGCAUGUACUUUAUGAAUAAGGAUCGGCUAACUCCGUGCCAGCAGCCGCGGUAAUACGGAGGAUCCGAGCGUUAUCCGGAUUUAUUGGGUUUAAAGGGAGCGUAGAUGGGUUGUUAAGUCAGUUGUGAAAGUUUGCGGCUCAACCGUAAAAUUGCAAUUGAUACUGGCAGUCUUGAGUACAGUUGAGGUAAGCGGAAUUCGUGGUGUAGCGGUGAAAUGCUUAGAUAUCACGAAGAACCCCGAUUGCGAAGGCAGCUUACUAAACUGUGACUGACAUUGAUGCUCGAAAGUGUGGGUAUCAAACAGGAUUAGAUACCCUUGUAGUC